rnacentral:rRNA from 1 species
GCAUAAUAAUUUGCCUUUUAAUUGGAGGCUGGUAUGAAUGGAUAGACGAGAAUAUGGCUGUCUCUUCCCUAUUAAUAGAAAUUAAUAUUUAAGUGAAGAAGCUUAAAUAGUAUAAAAAGACAAGAAGACCCUGUUGAGCUUUAUAUAUAAAAAGAUAUUAAUAAAUAAAUAAAAGUUAUUUUCUAAGUAUAUUUAGUUGGGGCGACUUGAGAAGAGAGUAAAUCUUCUUUCAUAGCAAAGGUUAUAAGUCUUUUAAUAAAUCCACAAAUGUGAAUAAAUAGAAAGCUACCACAGGGAUAACAGGCUAAUCCUUUUUGAGAGUUCAUAUUGAGAAAGGGGU